rnacentral:lncRNA from 1 species
GUCAGGGUCUAUAGUUCUUAGAACCCCAGCAGACUGUAAAACUGGCAGGAUUUUCUACACAGCCCAAACUGGUGGUUCACAAAAAACCCAGGAGGGAUGGAUCAUAAUUUCAUUUAGAAUUGUUUGACUAGCACUUGUUAACUUUAUUAAAAUAGCAAAUACAAGUAAAAUUCUAUGGAUUUGAAAAAAAUUAUACCUGGCAU